GUUAUUGGUAGCUCAAAAGGAUAGAGCGCCAGCGCGUACGUCACCCGCUGAGGGUGUCCCAGAGCGCUGGAGAUCCUGGUUCGAGUCCAGGCUGAUAACCCC
rnacentral:tRNA from 1 species